UCCCUUUUGAAAGCACUUUACGGGUCUCUUCAGUGACCUGGGAAGUCGUCCAGAAAGGGCAGAAUAUAACAGAACCAUCACUUUUGGGUGAGGUGACAGCUGGAUGUGCUGUUGGUCUCAAUCAGUGUUGUGACAGGU
rnacentral:snoRNA from 1 species